rnacentral:rRNA from 1 species
AUUGAACGCUGGCGGCAUGCCUUACACAUGCAAGUCGAACGGCAGCGCGGGGCAACCUGGUGGCGAGUGGCAAACGGGUGAGUAAUGCAUCGGAACGUACCUUUCAGGGGGGGAUAACGUAGCGAAAGUUACGCUAAUACCGCAUAUUCUGUGAGUAGGAACGCAGGGGAUCGCAAGACCUCGCGCUGAUUGAGCGGCCGAUGUCAGAAUAGCUAGUUGGUGGGGUAAAGGCUCACCAAGGCGACGAUCUGUGGCGGGUCGGAGAGGAUGAUCAGCCACACUGGAACUGAGACACGGUCCAGACUCCUACGGGAGGCAGCAGUGGGGAAUUUUGGACAAUGGGGGCAACCCUGAUCCAGCCAUGCCGCGUGAGUGAAGAAGGCCUUCGGGUUGUAAAGCUCUUUCGGCCGGAAAGAAAUCGCACGGGCUAAUACCCUGUGUGGAUGACGGUACCGGAAUAAGAAGCACCGGCUAACUACGUGCCAGCCGCCGCGGUAAUAC